CGGAACCUUUGUUUUGGGGGCGUUGCUUCCCGGUUGAUUUUGGGGCGGACUUCCUGUUUGCCUCAGACGCUAUCUGGAUCCUAAAAGCAGCGCUUUGGUCGUCAUUACUGAAUCCUGUUUUACUAUUCUUCAGGUUUAUAUGGAAUAGACACCUCUGCUUUGCCACUCUGGAUGUAAUCUGUCAAAAAUGGGUCCCUCCAGCUGCAAGUGACAGAUAAACAGAAAAAGCACCUGCCACAUUGAGGUCAGCACCCCCAGCAGCCUCCAUGCCAUCAAAACCUUCGAGCAGAAACAAAGGCAAGAGAACAUCCUUAGAAGAGGUUUAAAGUCCAUGCUCCUGUAAGGUGUUUUGGAUCCAGGUUCAGAGAAUCUCAACAGUGAAACAGAGUCACACCACUCGACAAAGAUGAGAGAGGAAAUAAAAAAAAAAUAAAUCUCUUAAUUCUCUGA